ACCCUCUCAGGGUCGCUCCUGGAGAGUUUCCAGUACUCUACCAGUCUCGACUAUGGGAGGGAGAGUCAAGCAGAGGCAUACUCAAAUCCAUUCCUAGCUUGACCAGUGGCUAGCGAGUGGAAGGCAAUCUGCCACAAGU
rnacentral:snoRNA from 1 species